rnacentral:rRNA from 1 species
AUUGAACGCUGGCGGCAGGCCUAACACAUGCAAGUCGAACGAGUGGCGGACGGGUGAGUAAUGUCUGGGAAACUGCCUGAUGGAGGGGGAUAACUACUGGAAACGGUAGCUAAUACCGCAUACCAUCAGAUGUGCCCAGAUGGGAUUAGCUUGUUGGUGGGGUAACGGCUCACCAAGGCGACGAUCCCUAGCUGGUCUGAGAGGAUGACCAGCCACACUGGGACUGAGACACGGUCCAGGAUCCGACGGGAGGCAGCCAUGGGGAAUAUUGCGCAAAGGGCGCAAGCCUGAUGCAGCCAUGCCGCGGGUAUGAAAGAAGCCUUCGGGUUGUAAAGUACUUUCAGCGGGGAGGCGUUGACCGCCGAAGAAGCACCGGGUAAAUCCGGGCCAGCAGCCGCGGUAAUUC